AUGAGGGGCAGGCGGCCGGAUGUGACGAUAUUGCGGAGCGGAAGGCCUGCAAGUUGGAAUGACGAUAGUCGCUGUUUCAGGGAGGGGACCUACAACAAUCAAUUAUACCUGUGUGAAAGGUUCUGAAAAUGCAGGAAUUGGCAUCAAGGGUGCUGGAUUUAUCACUGCCUGUGGCUUUCCUACCAUCUGACAAACAUGACAGGGCCUUCGGGUGGAAUAUGGCUGCCGGUGAAUUUCAGUUGGGCUGAAAAGAUUGGAUGGAAAGUGGGAGUUCAAACAAAGUGGAAGCCAAGAAGGCAAGACUGUGAGAUUGCCUGCACUGCCACA